rnacentral:lncRNA from 1 species
CGGGGUUGCCCCGCCCCCCUUCUCUCCCACAAGGCCACCGCCACAACAUCUCGGGUCUCCGCCUGGAGGCGCAGCAGUAAGCGGCCGAAUAGAGGAGCCGCCUGCGGGCGACCGGCGACGAGGUUAGGUAUGUCAUCGGUUGCAUUUUUCCCCUGCAUUAGCAUCAGCCUCUUCGUACCUCAGGUGCUAACUCGCUCAUUCUAAAGUCGUAGUGGCUCCAACUCGAGAAAUGCUCAGAGGAUUUGGUAGUAGGAGCACGAAUUUUAAUCUAAUCCAGCAGCAUUGCAAGAGGGAAUGAGGGAUUGUGGGUAAUGGAACUGCGGAGUUCUUAAGCAGACCACUUAUUUUGGAUUUGGUCUGGAAUGAGGGAUUCGGGGUAAUGUGCGAGUGCCAAUUAACAGAUCACCGAGUUCUCACAUGGAAGUAGAAGCUCCCUGUUUGAAAAUCACUUGAACAAAAAUACCAAAGUUCGCACAAUUUUUUUUAUACCCCUCAUCCAAAUAACAAGCAAGAUCGCAAAAUGGAAACAAAAUGACUGGAUUUCUGUUUAUCUACAACCAAUCAUCACAAGUUGAGCAAACUACCAAACUUUAUCUAAGCAGACGCAACAAUAACUCGGUGGCCAUUUUCCUUUCACCGUCCAGAUAAGGGGAUCAGUUGUGUCAUCCGACUGGUAUAGCCAGACUGGAAGGAGCUGGAGCUCUCCUCGUUGACCUCUCCAGAAAUCAACAGCUGGAACUGCUUUCGCAUUUCAUCAUUCAUGGACUUCGUGGAGGACGGGGAAGCAUACUGUUUCUGGCUUGGAGUCGUUGGCAACAACACUUUUAGCCUUGACACAACCUCGGUCAUGCUCGGCCUGUCGAUGGCUGCACUCUCCACGCAGUUCAUGGCAAGGUCCACCACGCUCUGCAGGGAAUUGGCGUCGUACUGAUCCAACAGCCUCUUGUCCACGAUAUCUUGAAUACUGCCUUUUGCAAUCUUUUGGCGUACCCAGUUUGGUAGGUGGUAGGUGUGAGGGUCCAUCAAUACCGGGGGCUUGCCAGUGAUGAUCUCCAAGAGCACGAUGCCGAAGCUGUAAACGUCUGUCUUGAUGGUGAGCUGGAAAGUUGCAUGGUACUCAGGGUCGAGGUAGCCGAGAGUGCCAGCAGCAACUGUAGAUAUAUGUGUGUGCGCAUCAUUGAAAGCCCGCGAAAGCCCAAAAUCAGCUAUUAUCCCCACCAGGUUCUUGUCCAGAAGGAUGUUGGCUGUCUUGACAUCUCUGUGAACUAUUGAUGGGGUGCAUGACUCAUGUAGAUAUUCCAGUCCUGUAGUUUAAUUUGUCAACAGAUGCAUACAUACAUACAUCACCUAAAAGAAAGCAUGUAAAUGAAAUGCGAACCUUGUGCCGAAUCAAGUGCAAUAUGAAGUCGCUGUUCCCAAGUCAAAUUGUAGUCAUCUCCUGCAUCAAGACGUACCAAAGUUAAUGCAAGUGCCACAAGAUACAUGCAUGGUAGCAUACAUGCUAGCUUUAUAAUUUUUGCACAUUUAACUUCAGAUUGAUGUUUAAACCACAAUGAUCAAGCAUGUUAUCAAUUGGUCUAUUAUGGUCUAAACCCGGCAUAAAUAGGCACUUGAUCUUUGAGAGGUCACUGCUUUUGGUUCUCUUUAAUAAAUAUUAUGGUCCAUUGAAGUAUUCUUUGAAUAUGUACCUCUGUCGUUGCUUUGUUUCUUACUGAUUUUAAAUAUCUAACUAUCGAGUCAUAAUUAUGACUGAGUAGAGGUAUGUAACUGUGGUGCCCCAAUUUGUUAGCCAAGUAUCUAUGACUAUACCAUGCUUAUGAAUUUGGCAAUGGACAAUACUAAGAAAAAUUUCCAAAAAGGAAAAGCUCCAAGAAGAACUAGGUCCACCAACUCAAGUGUAUUGAUUAGCAGCAGCAAUAACAGUCUAUGCAAUCAACUAAACCUUUGACAAGGAAAUCAGGUUUAUUAAAAAAAACUCGUUUUUUUUAUUAUGCUAGGUCCUGCCAAUUUUUAUAUUAUGCUACAACGCACAAUAUAAAGUUUGGCGGGUAGGUAGUUUCCAAGUGGUUAAUGAAAGCUAUUGGCAUGUCGGUCCCUGUGUAGUUAUUGAUUUUGAAUGAAGUAAAACAUUACCUAAGUAAACUAUGUUUGAUAGAAAAUUUCAAAUAGUGGAGGGAAAACCUUCUCUUAAAAGCUGUUGAAGAUUUCCUCUGGGCAUGAAGUCAUAAACGAGGGCUAGGCACUUCGUGUUCUGGCAAUAUCCUUGUAGAGUCACGAGAUUCUUGUGAUGAACUUUGGACAAGGUUUGCACCUGCAGCAACAGAUAUAGUUACCAAUCAUCCUAGAGCUGAAGACAAUUGCAUCAUUUCAUUGGAUAUGGACUCUGAAAAGGGUUGAUAUCUUGCACACUUAUAGUUUACUUUCUAUUGAAGAAAUUAUUGAUUUGACCUAGUUGGUUUUGUGGUAUACCUCAGGGAGGAAAUCUGUUGACUCCGCUAUUGAUGUCUCCAUAAGCACCUUAACAGCUACUUCAUCACCAUUUUCCAUUGUGCCAUGGUAAACAGUACCAAAACCUCCUUUUCCAACGAUUUGUUUGAAGUCGUUUGUUAUGUGUUUCAGGUCUGCGUACGUGAACCGUCUGAUAUCAAUAUGUAGGGGUGUUUCCUCUUCAUACAUAGCAUAAUCCUCAUUGUCUCCUGACUUCCCUGCAGAAUCAUAAAGUAGUGUGUUACAUGAAAGUUUUGGGUGAAGCUGCUGUUUAAUGUCUACCACCUAUUCCAUUGAUGAAAGAGAGUUUAAGAGCGGAAAAUUUUAUUUUACCUUUCCAGCACAGUUUCCAGAGUAUGCACAUCACUACUAGGAGGGAUACCAGUACUACAGGAACUAUCACUGCGAUGAGCAUGGUAGAUUUGGUGUUCUUCUUAUUUGAACAGUACGUAUCUUUGACUUUUGAGCAUACGGGAUUGCCUUCUAACCUAGUGGCACCAUUACACAACAUAUAGGAAAAAAUGAAUUAGUACGAUGUUAGCUACAACAGCUCUACAAAAUUAUGAUUAGAAGAUGCCUCCAUGUUCUAACACGACUAACAUGGUAGACAUGUACGCACUCUGAACGAAUAAACUUCAUGGUUUCUCAUAUAUGCACUCUAAAAGAAUAAACUUCAUGGUUUGUAAAUCAUGUGCAGUUACUAAGGUCCUUAUCUAUUUCUCAUCUUGAGUGCCCAUAGACAAUAAAGCUUUUAUAGUUACUAGAUGCUAGUACAUGUAACUGAGGGCAUGCUUGAAUCAAUGUAAUGCUCUGCAAACGUGUUGCUUCACACACUUCUUGUGGCACCUGAAUUGGCCAUCACAACUUCGUCAAAUUCGAUAACUGUUCACAUGUACCACAAGUGGUGCUGCUGCGGCAUUUAUUUUUUUUUGGGAAAGGAGGAUUACCCCCGGCCUCUGCAUCAAGCGAUGCACACAGCCAUGGUGCUGCUGCAGCAUGACGUUAGAAAAGUGUGGCACGACACAAAAUAUAACACCAACUAAACUGUGGCCAUAUAAAGUCAAACUUGUGUAACUCUUGUUUCGUGAAGUGUGGCGUAUUUACAUUGUAUUUUCAAAGGCUGUUGCUAAACCUUGAUUCUUCUAUGAAGCUCAACCCUGUUCCUUUUGAGUGUAGUUGUUUAAUUUGAUCUAUUUUUUCUGUAGUCAGAAAUUGCGAAACAUUCAGUUAAAAGAAAAGGAAUUGUGCAACAGAGCUUGCAAACCUUAAGUCAAGCAGACCGGCCUGAGAUCUUUGAAGAAUAGAAUUAGGGAUUGGUCCAUCGAGCUGGUUAUAUGACAAAUCGCUGUAAAAUGAAGUUAAAAUUAUUCUCUAAAUUUUAUAUCAUCAACCAAAUAUUAUAUUAAGGAGAGACUUACAGAACUUUAAGUGACUUUAUUUGGUAGUCUGGAAUAGCUCCUGUCAAAUUGUUGUGUGAUAAAUCCCUACAUAUGUUUUGUGCUUAGGGUCAUAAAAAAUGUCACAAAUAAUCCCAUUUAGCCCAUUAAUAUUUAGUGGUAGGCACCACUUACAAGUUCUCCAGUGAUGCCAUGUUCAUGAAUGAUAUGACUAAUCCACCUUUCAGUCCACUAGUAGACAGAUCUCUGCAAAACAACUCAUUUUAGUACAAGUCUAUUAACUUAGCCGUAGUAUUGAGCUAACAUGUUUCUUUAAGAUUAUUUAAGUAUCUUUCUGUGGUUCUUUACACUAAAUUGCAUAUGUUUUCAAGCUUUCAACUAAAUUAACUGUGUUUUCAAGAUAAUAGCUAGCAAGACACGUGACAAGUUUUUCUUACCAUAUAAAAAUGCAAUAUACUUCAAAGGUUAAAAAUAUGAAUUGUGAUGUUUAUGUUCCAAAAUGUAUAUGGUACAAGUCCUGGUUAUGUUCUUACACUGCAACAAUCCUUGGAUUCUGGUUUCUCUUAGAGUAGUCGCAAGUCAAACCUUCCCAGGAAUAUUCUCUUGGGGAGCAUGGAUCUCCAUUCCAGUUUAUCCGCGCCAAAUUGUAGUGUUUCUUGACUUCUUUCAUGUAAUUGACUACAACACCGAAAAAAACAAUGGAAAUAAAUAUGAACAGAAUAAAGAAUGCUGUAUAUGUUGGGUAUGGGCCCUCAUAUGUAUUAAAAAGAAUGUAAACAUUAACUUAACUAGUUGCAAAGUUAUUUCAUAUGCAAGUUUUAUCUGUUUAAUAGAAGUGAAUAAAUUGUAUUAAUCUAUUUAUCUACUACGGUCUUGGCCAUGGCUCAUUGGUAAUUGAACUUUAGAAGGUUGCUUACUAAGGAGUUACUACUGAAUCAGCUGGUUGAUACACUUGUUUCUAUUACCAUAAUGUGGAUACUGACAAUGUCAAAUGGAGUUGAGGAUCUUCGGGAGUCUACACAGUGAGAUCUUGGUAAUUAAGAAUUGUUUAAAUGCAGGGAGCUGGAGGUGCUGUUCCACCAACUGAAUAAACUGCAUGAUGAUCAUGUGAAUCUGCCACAUAUACAUGACAAAAGUGUAAUGCACAUGCAGUAUAUACAUUAAUCUUACCAUCGUCGGCGUCAGUGGUGAGGUUAUCCAUCCGCACCAGCGAGUACACCUCGAACGCAUUGAUGAGCGGCGGGAGCCUUGAGCUGCGUGUCUUGUUCAGCAGGAAGGUUGCAGUAGGGUUGUGCAAGAACUGCCCGUUCUCGUGCAUGCUGUCCGCCUGGAAUCUUGACGGCGAGAAGUCUGGAAACAGCAAGUCAUUGUCGCUGUAGAUGUCGAACCUCCUGUUCUGGUUGCUGAUGUUGAUCUCGGCAAAGUGGAAGAUCGGGAGAAGCUGCAGGUUCUUGGCGUCCAGGUUGGGACCCACUGCCACAUUGAUCUCGAAGAAGGAGUAGUUUGUGUCUAGGGUGCUGGCCUGCUGGAGGAUGCCCUCUGGUACCUGGAAGGUGUUGUCGCCGGGUAGCCUCCUCACUGGACUGCUAGUGUUUAGAGUCAUCCAGGGGUAGGUGUUAUAGGAGAAAGACCAGCCCUCCCAGAACCGGUCGUAAGGGUCCAAUGGAUAUCUUCACCGCACACAAAGACAAGGAGAAAACAGGUAAAUAGCUAGCCAAUAAACUUUUUUUUUUAACUUGAAGGCAAUAGCUGUGACAACUCGCCAGCCAAACUUCUUGUCACCUUGGGAUGACAUUAGUUUUUGUUAGAAGCAAUUGCAAGAUUCAGGAAACAGAUUAAGGAGCAAACACUUCAAAUGUUCCGUGCUAGCCAACUUCAAAACCGUUGUCAGGCACAAUUAAGAUCAAAUCCAAAAUUAUUAUGGAUGUCAGCCUUGUCUCACCUUGUGAUGAAGUCAGUGGCUUGACCAAAUCUGAUCCGGCGAAAGUAGCUGAUUGACACCGAAGAAUUCACAAAAGGGUACAUUGAAUCUUGCAGUGGCCUCAGCUCCAACGCAGACACGAAUGGAGUCCCUGUACCGAAGUUUAUCAGACAGACCGACACCGAGCCGCCCGGAGCAACGGUGAGCACCUCCUUCCAUAUUGUGCUUGAUGGAUCCCAACUUGUCAAGUUUACCGCCUCCCAGAAAUUGGCGCCGAUAUGGAGCCCAAAUAAAAAUGGUGACCCGUCCAUGGUCCGGUUCAACCCGUCGUAGUCGCCGUAAGUAAACAAGGCCCUCACCAGCUUUUUACCAGGGGUGGAUGGCAGUGUGUAGCAAUUCCUUGAGCCGUUGGGGAAGCUCCUCAAGGUUUUUUGGCUCUCAUAUGGGGCACCAGCCAUGUACACUGCUGCUAUUUGGUGGGUCAAACCGCCCUCGACGAAUCCAACGUCGGACUGGUGCUGUAUUCCUCGUAUGCUGCUGUCGGUGUAGGGAGUAGUGUUUCUGUUUCCACAGUCGAGGCUUAUGAACCCUGCAUAACGGAGAAUAUGUGUCGGUUUCUUGUGUUUCAGGUUUAAGAUAUGCUGAAAGACCAUAUAUAACCUGUCCAUUUAUAGAUAUCUAAUAGCAAAAGUAUGAGUAUUAAGAUCUCAGUGAAUUGAAAUUUCUUAAGUUGCACUGAAGUAAACUGAGCUGUGCAUGCAGAUGGAGCAGAGGUCAAAGAGGACAAGAGGUGCAUGGAUCUAUCUAGAAGGUAAAAGCCAGGACGACACGGAUUUCAUUACCAGAGGUAGAAGGAGGCUGG